rnacentral:rRNA from 1 species
ACUUCGGGAUUGCAAUGAGAUAAAUCUAAAAACCUAAGCGAUUAACAAUUGGAGGGCAAGUCUGGUGCCAGCAGCCGCGGUAAUUCCAGCUCCAAUAGCGUAUACUUAAGUUGUUGCAGUUAAAAAGCUCGUAGUUGAAAUUCGAGUUGGCCUCAAUCAGCACUUGUUGAUCUGUUGGUCAGCUGUCCGCCUAUAAGCUACUUGCUCCUUCAAAAGAGUAAGUCGUAGAGUAGGCACUUUACCUUGAAAAAAUUAGAGUGUUUCAGGCAGGUUUUCGCCGGAAUACAUUAGCAUGGGAUAAUGGAAUAGGACUGUGGUCUGUUGUUGGUUUUUUGGACCGUUGUAAUGAUUAAUAGGGACAGAUGGGGGCAUUAGUAUUUAAUUGUCAGAGGUGAAAUUCUUGGAUUUAUUAAAGACUAACUUAUGCGAAAGCAUUUGCCAAGGAUGUUUUCAUUAAUCAAGAACGAAAGUUAGGGGAUCAAAGACGAUCAGAUACCGUCGUAGUCUUAACUAUAAACUAUACCGACUCGGGAUCGGAAGGGUAAUAUAUUGGGCCCUUUCGGCACCGUAAGAGAAAUCAAGUCUUUGGGUUCUGGGGGGAGUAUGGUCGCAAGGCUGAAACUUAAAGGAAUUGACGGAAGGGCACCACCAGGAGUGGAGCCUGCGGCUUAAUUUGACCCAACACGGGGAAACUUACCAGGUCAAAACAUGGAUGGGAUUGACAGAUUGAAAGCUCUUUCUUGAUUCUAUGGGUGGUGGUGCAUGGCCGUUCUUAGUUGGUGGAGUGAUUUGUCUGGUUAAUUCCGAUAACGAACGAGACCUUAACCUGCUAACUAGUUCGUUUCUGAAUAAGAGCGUAACUUCUUAGAGGGACUAUGUAUGUUAAAUGCAUGGAAGUUUAAGGCAAUAACAGGUCUGUGAUGCCCCUAGAUGUCCUGGGCCGCACGCGCGCUACACUGACACGUUCAGCGAGUUCAUUAACCUGGCCCGAUAGGGUUCGGGAAAUCUUGUUAGGACGUGUCGUGCUGGGGAUAGAUCUUUGCAAUUAUAGAUCUUGAACGAGGAAUUCCUUGUAAGCACAGGUCAUCAGCCUGUGCUGAAUACGUCCCUGCCCUUUGUACACACCGCCCGUCGCUCCUACCGAUUUCGAGUGAUGUGGUGAACUAUCUGGACUGCGGACGGGCUUGAACCGUUUGCGGAAAGUUUCGUAAACCUUAUCACUUAGAGGAAGGAGAAGUCGUAACAAGGUU